UCCUGUACACAACUUGCAGAGCAACAACAACAUCAUCAUCAUCUCUCCCCGAAACCACCGGACUGGGAAACGUUUGUGGUACUGUCAGUGAACACGGCUUCGUGCUGAGAUAACAGGACAAGAACAUCAGUGAUACGCAAUACAACUAUGGCAGGAAAGAUGCCUCAAGGAUUUAACUGCGGCAAUGCUAGAAAAGCUUGUGACAAGAAGACAGUCAAAGAGGAAACACCGCCAAACAACCCACCGCAGACGAUCAGUGCAGAUGAGUGGUUUAUAAGAGCGAGCAAGUUUAAAAUAGAGAACAUUGAGAUUUUAGAAAAACCAAAACCAAAACCAAAGGGGGGCCGCCAGCCAGCGAGUCAUUCCUAAAUUCUAAAUUCUAUGGUGUAUCCUACCACUGGAAUAAUUGUUGUACUUGGCUCACGGCUGCAGAGGCAGAGAUUUGAAAAGUGGUUCUGAAUGUGUAGAUCAUUAGUGAGGAUUUUAAAGAAAAAUCUGCAACUAAAUAAGAAGAGUAACUCCCAGUCCUCCUAACUAAAGGGGCCACUGUAUAUAUCCUCACCUGCUCUUCUCUCAGUCUUUAUCUUGAAAGAGUCAAAUGAAAUGGAAGUAAAUAAAUUAAUGAUAAAACACAAAAACUUGUAAUUUUGGUUUGGGAACUCAUCUGUCAAAUCAGUAUCUUAGUAUGAAUCAAUAAUCUGCUUCUAAUGUUUUUGUUGUGACAUUAUAAUAAACUAAU